rnacentral:rRNA from 1 species
GCACAAGCGGUGGAGCAUGUGGUUUAAUUCGAAGCAACGCGAAGAACCUUACCAAGUCUUGACAUCCUUUGACCACUCUAGAGAUAGAGCUUUCCCUUCGGGGACAAAGUGACAGGUGGUGCAUGGUUGUCGUCAGCUCGUGUCGUGAGAUGUUGGGUUAAGUCCCGCAACGAGCGCAACCCUUAUUACUAGUUGCCAGCAUUGAGUUGGGCACUCUAGUGAGACUGCCGGUGACAAACCGGAGGAAGGUGGGGAUGACGUCAAAUCAUCAUGCCCCUUAUGACUUGGGCUACACACGUGCUACAAUGGAUGGUACAACGAGCAGCGAACUCGCGAGGGUAAGCGAAUCUCUUAAAGCCAUUCUCAGUUCGGAUUGUAGGCUGCAACUCGCCUACAUGAAGCCGGAAUCGCUAGUAAUCGCGGAUCAGCACGCCGCGGUGAAUACGUUCCCGGGC